AUUGAACGCUGGCGGCAGGCCUAACACAUGCAAGUCGAGCGGGGUUUUCGGACCUAGCGGCGGACGGGUGAGUAAUGCGUAGGAAGCUACCCGAUAGAGGGGGAUACCAGUUGGAAACGACUGUUAAUACCGCAUAAUGUCUACGGACCAAAGUGUGGGACCUUCGGGCCACAUGCUAUCGGAUGCGCCUACGUGGGAUCAGCUAGUUGGUGGGGUAAUGGCUCACCAAGGCGACGAUCCCUAGCUGGUUUGAGAGGAUGAUCAGCCACACUGGAACUGAGACACGGUCCAGACUCCUACGGGGGGCAGCAGUGGGGAAUAUUGGACAAUGGGCGCAAGCCUGAUCCAGCCAUGCCGCGUGUGUGAAGAAGGCCUUCGGGUUGUAAAGCACUUUCAGUAGGGAGGAAGGGUUAAGUGUUAAUAGUACUUAACUUUGACGUUACCUACAGAAGAAGCACCGGCUAACUCUGUGCCAGCCGCCGCAGUAAUAC
rnacentral:rRNA from 1 species